CUUUAGGGAUCAAAGAUACCCAAAAUAGAGGUUAAAUUGGUUGUCGUCAUAUAAAUCCAUAUAGUAAAACCUUCUUUUAGCGAAGACCUGUAUGGCAAGACUACCUGUCUGAAAAGUCCACAUUUUUCACUUCCUUUGGCUAAUAUUUUUCAUUGCAACGGGGACUAAACUAGCCUGAAAAAAAGAAUAUCUGCUUACAAAAAACAGUUUUCUCGUCUUCCUUGAGUGGUCUUCAUACAUGGGUUUCACUGUACAAUAAAGAUGCCGAGGCCUGUACCAGAGACAUGGGCAAUUAAACAAGAUAGCUUGACACGUAUUCCGACCUUUUAUUCAUUUUGUAUUCCCACUCUGCUCUUUAAAAUUAAAAUAACAUACAAAGAAAUGGCGAAAUUGAGUGAGGAAAAUGAACAACUGACAGAGAGCACUAGUUGCAAGCAUAGGACGAUAGAGGAAAAGCAACGUUGUUUUAUAAUUCCUCUCUCAUAUGUUCAUCAAGAUUUUGGCAUCAACCAUUUUGAAUCAUGAUACCGUGGUGUACCUAUUGUUGUUUUCCCCAAUUAUCAAGUUCAUAAUAAUUCCAUUUUCUUACGAACAAAAUGUAAGUGAUGGAUGGACAUUCUAUGAAAAGACAUUCCUAUUGGUUUCACCUACGAAGAAUAUAGCCAAGGCGGAAGGAAUUAAAUGAGUUGCUUUUAUCAUUAAUUUAUGGGCUGACAUCUAAUUUGCAGAGGUUACUGCAACUUCUACUGCAGGACUAACUCAUAAUAGAACUAAAUUCAGAGAAGAAAAUUAUUUCGUCACCCACUGCUUGUAAUUUACUAUUCUUUAAUCAACUGCUCUCUUUGAAGCAAUCAAACAUUGCUUACGACAGUUAAUCGGGUUUCAUCUUCUGUACAACAGAAAUUGAGUAUGUACAAAAUGUAUUUAGUUCCGAUGUAUGUUUCUUGCGACGUAUACUAGUUUACAGCUAGAAGUCUUCAACCAGAACCCUAAUUCAACAAGUACAGUUUACAUUCAUGCCUUUACUAAAAACACAAAAAACAUCAAGUUCACGAGGGGUAUGAAUCAAUAAGCUGCUCCCAGCUCAGUGGAAUCGUAUUUCGUCACCAGUCUACUGCUGUUGGGGAAGCCCUGUUUGAUGACAUGAUCAUCUAUACUUGAUUCGCCAAUCACGAAACUCCACGACAGCCACCUACUCGGUCUAGUAAAUCAACAUUCUUCAUAAAACUCUACGUCGCUCAGCACCGGGAUAAUACUUCCCCGCAGUGGACAAGCGAAAGCACACACGCACAGUUUUCUCAACGAUAAAUGAUUUCAUGGACACGGACAUUACUGCUAAACAAACUAGACAGGCUUAAAUAAUUGAUUUUGACUGAACGCAAAAACUACAAACAAAAACAACAACAACAUCUGCGAGGUAACAGAGGCUUACAGGGCAGACAGCAGUGCACACGAAUUUUUGUUUUGUUUCUUCGACAAUAAUAAGAGCAAAAGUUUUCACGAUGGCUAUUCCGCCUGGUGGUAUACGCAACGAGCCCGGGCGUCAUAAGGGCAACUGUUCGAGUGGUCGUGUAUGCUAUGCUUUACUCGGUGCCAUCGCCAUAGUAGGUAUAGCAGGCAUAGUAAUUUUUGUGAUCGUACGUCUUACCUGAUAGAAGACACGAAUAAUCUCGAAAAAUCUGAAUAGGAGCUCUGCAACCUACCAUGGACCUUUGCCAAGAUGAAGUGUGCAAGUACUUCCGAAACUUCGACCCAGAUGAUCGCACAAAAAUGAAUAUACAUCUUCACGAAACUACCGUGGUUACACUAGGCAUUUUUAUGGGGCAUUUUCACCACGAUGCUGACGUCUCUUGGUCCAUACCCUUUAAAAGAAAGGAACAACCUUGUAUAACUUCUGUGCAACACUUUCUAUUUAAGAUGUACUCCUCUACAAUGGAAGUUGACGUAAUAUAGUUGUUGAUACACAAAAGUAUAAACCGGCUGAAAUUCAGGAUGGAAAUCCAUCUAAGCUGCACUUUUUUUAAGAAUCGUUUCAAUCAUGUCUUUAAGACAAUUAUCCAAUAAUGAAUUAUUCGAUGGCUUAGUUCUGUCACAUUUCAUCUAUCUAGUAGAUCCAGUACCCCGUCCCAUGGCAUCAAUGCCCCCUUCGUUGGCUGGAUCCAUGCUAUGCCACAGGACCAGCACCCUGGAUUAUAUAAACACACUAUUUCCCGUUAAGUUUGGAUAGUUGUUUUUACCUCUUUUUAAUGAAAUAAUAGUGACAAUACGAUUGAUAUUUUUUACAGUUGAGGUUCGAAUCUUUUCAGAACUGUACUGAUCAGCGAAGAUUAUUGAUUAUUGAUCAAUCUUCAUUGAUCAGUAUAGUUCUGAGAAGAUAUAAACGUCAUCUAUCAAGAAUAAUUCAUAUUGCAGCAAUCAUUUCAUGAAACGCUGCAUUUUAUUUUUAUGAUGUGGGUAAAUACAGGAAAAGUGAAUGUUCAUUAUGUAAAAAGAAAUAAUUAAAAUAAGUAGUUAACCUAAAAGUGUAGGCCUUAUUUCGUAAUGGACGUUAAUGACAGCUUUUUAACAGAAAGCUUUAUGUUUUGAAUUAGUUUAUUUAGUGUUUUUUUAAUUAACAACAGCCAUGAUAUAAACCAUUUGAUAAGUUCAUUUCAUAUUUGUUUUGAUGUAGUGUAAAAAUGUAUUAUAUUUCAUACACAUCGAAUGUCCAUCGAAUUGUUGUAUAGGCCCAAUGUAAAUAUAAAAAAUGAUCAUUUGAUUUGUCUUCAUUUACUGAAUUAUACAUGUAUUUACAAUCCUUGGGUAUCGUAGACUAGAUGUUUUUAACGUCAUGAAUUGACGUCUACGUUGCGGCAUUAUAUUUAUUAAUUUGUUUUUUGAUGUAGCGACGCCCCUAAUGACCUUGAGAAGUAACCUUGCCUGUUUUGAUGUUAGUACUAUUUGUUUCAAUUUAUUAAGGGUUUGACCCCAUGAUAAUUUCAUGAUAAUUCAAAUGUAAAGUUUUGAAUAAAUGAUCUGCUUCCCUA
rnacentral:lncRNA from 1 species